rnacentral:rRNA from 1 species
GACGAACGCUGGCGGCGUGCUUAACACAUGCAAGUCGAACGGAAAGGCCCUGCUUUUGUGGGGUGCUCGAGUGGCGAACGGGUGAGUAACACGUGAGUAACCUGCUCUUGACUUUGGGAUAACUUCAGGAAACUGGGGCUAAUACCGGAUAGGAGCUCCUGCUGCAUGGUGGGGGUUGGAAAGUUUCGGCGGUUGGGGAUGGACUCGCGGCUUAUCAGCUUGUUGGUGGGGUAGUGGAUUACCAAGGCUUUGACGGGUAGCCGGCCUGAGAGGGUGACCGGCCACAUUGGGACUGAGAGACGGCCCAGACUCCUACGGGAGGCAGCAGUGGGGAAUAUGGCACAAUGGGCGGAAGCCUGAUGCAGCAACGCCGCGUGCGGGAUGACGGCCUGCGGGGUGUAAACCGCUUUCGCCUGUGACGAAGCGUGAGUGACGGUAAUGGGUAAAGAAGCACCGGCUAACUACGUG